CUGGAUAUCACCGAGGGGGGCGCCGUUGUCCU
rnacentral:scRNA from 1 species